GAUGAACGCUGGCGGCGUGCUUAACACAUGCCAGUCGAACGGAAAGGCUCCUGCUUGCAGGGGUACUCGAGUGGCGAACGGGUGAGUAACACGUGGGUGAUCUGCCCUGCACUUCGGGAUAAGCCUGGGAAACUGGGUCUAAUACCGGAUAGGACGAUGGUUUGGAUGCCAUUGUGGAAAGUUUUUCGGUGUGGGAUGAGCUCGCGGCCUAUCAGCUUGUUGGUGGGGUAAUGGCCUACCAAGGCGUCGACGGGUAGCCGGCCUGAGAGGGUGUACGGCCACAUUGGGACUGAGAUACGGCCCAGACUCCUACGGGAGGCAGCAGUGGGGAAUAUUGCACAAUGGGCGCAAGCCUGAUGCAGCGACGCCGCGUGGGGGAUGACGGCCUUCGGGUCGUAAACUCCUUUCGCUAGGGACGAAGCGUUUUGUGACGGUACCUGGAGAAGAAGCACCGGCUAACUACGUG
rnacentral:rRNA from 1 species